UUGUACUUUAUCUCGGGGCAAUCGCGGCUUCCUGCCUUCCCACCCACUCUGCAACGGGGGUGGGUUUCAUUUCAGGUGAAAGUGAAUUAAAUUCUCCCUCCUCCGUCUAAAUCUGGGAGGUGUGGGUGAGGAGGGGAGCGAGUUGUUGGCCGGGAUUUACUUCACCCUGGCAAACACCACUUGGAGAGAAAGAAGCUACUUCUACAAUGAAGUCCGAAGCCUUUGGACAUUUACUGAGACUGGUGGCGGAACAGGGUGCACGUCCCUACAUACAUCUCAGUUCCUCAAGAACUUCCAAAGCCUCAUGUUGAACGGCAUGGUGCGCCAUGGGGGGGAGCAGACCCACCUGCAGCUGUUGGCUGGCUGAACCACUUUGUGCGCGUUACUGUGCCUUUUCUCGUCUCUACAGCGGGGCCGAGGGCACCUGAUUGUGUGUUAAAGCACCAGACAAGAAUCACCAAGACUCUUAUGUUGCUGAGCCCUCUGUCCCUCUGACAAGCAUGGGGCCAAAGGUGUGGCUGCCUGGAUGGUCUCAUUUGAGGCAUCUGCAGGAAGAUGAGCGGUCCUUGUGGGGUAUCGUGUUACCCCUAGGAGCACCCACGGGGCUUCGCCUGCACCUCUGUUGAGCAAGUGUUCCUGUACGUUCUGCCCAUCUCGGUCUAGACGGUGAGCGAGCUGAGGGCACAGAGGUCCCCCUGCCCCAAGCACUGGGCACCCCAGGUGCCUGUGCCACCUCGCUGGAGAUCAGCAGUGUGGUUGACUACCGAAUGAGACCACAAAAGAGUCCACAAAGCAAUAGAAGGUCAGUGGUAGAUCUUAUCCAAUGUUUGUUAUAUUCAGUGCCUGACAAAUUUUGUCCUGGAUGCACGGACACACCGGGAUAUACGGGGUUGCCUAUCUGCACCCAGUGAGGUGCUGCUCACUCUAGUAACUGAAGGUGGGCCCCCAGGCACACUGAAAAUGAAGGGUGGGAAAAGGUCUCAAGCUUCCUCCGGGGAAGGGCGUUGUCAGCUGGCAUUCAGUGGGGCGAUGACCUGUGCCCGCGAGCUUCAAAUCACAGGCAGCAGCAAGGGAAAUGCAUCCAGUUCAAGAUUUUUAAAAAUACCAUGAUCAGGGGAAAAAAUGGCUGAUGCCGAGGUUUCAUUUCCUGCGAUACCCUUGAGUUGUAGAGAUUUUGAUAUAAAAACGAAAUCAAAUUUCAGACCAUUUUUGUAGUUUUUGAAACUCUUGGUGAAGUUGCUCACCAUCCUGCCCAAAUAUGCCUCAUGCAAAGAGCUGAGUUAUGUGUGCCCCGGAUGUUUUCAAGAUAACAUUUGUUCUUCCGGAUU